rnacentral:rRNA from 1 species
UACGGGGGGAGCAAGCGUUGUCCGGAUUUACUGGGCGUAAAGGGCGCGUAGGCGGUCACUCCAAGUCAGUUGUGAAAUCUCUGGGCUUAACUCAGAACGGUCAACUGAUACUGUCGGAUUAGAGUGCAGAAGGGGCAACUGGAAUUCUCGGUGUAGCGGUGAAAUGCGUAGAUAUCGAGAGGAACACCUGCGGCGAAGGCGGGUUGCUGGGCUGACACUGACGCUGAGGCGCGAAAGCUAGGGGAGCGAACGGG